UGAGCAACCUGCCCUUGACCCUGGAAUAACAGCUGGAAACAGCUGCUAAUACCGGAUACAACCUCCGAUGGCAUCAUCUGGAGGUGGAAAGCUCCGACGGUCAAGGAUGGGCUCGCGGCCUAUCAGCUUGUUGGUGAGGUAAUGGCUCACCAAGGCUUCGACGGGUAGCCGGCCUGAGAGGGUGACCGGCCACACUGGGACUGAGACACGGCCCAGACCUCGUACGGGA
rnacentral:rRNA from 1 species